rnacentral:lncRNA from 10 species
GAGGUGGGCAAGUUAGUUGCUCCAAAAACAAGAUAAAAUGAUUGAGUUCUUUUCUCAAGCGGGAGUCGGAGUUUAUCUGCUCUGAGAUGCUCCAGAUGGUUUUCUUACAGAGAAACUUCAUUUCAUGCUUGCAGUUGUUUAUUCCCAUGCAUCUAACUCUCGGCCAGGCACUGAAACAGAGCCCCAGCAGCUACUAUUAAUGAGUGUCUGGAAUAUGUUCCUGGCAUUUCACCUACCCUCUCUCCAAUCCUUCCAAGAAACUCACAAAGCAGGGCUUUUUCUUGAACUUCUCUUCCUCACAACAGUUAAAUCAUCCAUUUAAAGAUGUCAAACAACCUCCGUGUUCUAAGAACUAUUUACUGAGCUCUACGGAGACACAGCUACAAGCACCACAUGCUGGACCCCUGAAUAUGGAGGGCCAACUACACUAGAAACACACACGCUAGCUGAGAAAGAUGGUGGCUUAAGG